rnacentral:lncRNA from 1 species
CUCGUGUCUUAUUGUCUAUUGUUAAAAUUUGCGCAUGUAAAAGUUUAGGUUGCCUCCUCCUUUCAUUUUUUUUUUAUUUGAUGCAAUUGGGAUCAAAUAAACUUCCCUGUGGAAUAAUUUAUGCGCGGUUUCAUACAGCACAAAAAAGAAGGUCUUUGUUCCCUCAAUCAAAAAGAUCAGAGUAAAAAUCUCAUAAGUAAUUGUGAGCUGACCUCUUUCAACAAUUAUACUCUGUCACCGACCUUAAUUCACAUUAAUUCCUGGCUAAUACUUGUGAUUACAACAUCAUUUUCAAUUGAAUAGAUAUACUGAUGAAAUGCUAAUGUGCCCAUCUUGUUUUUAUGGCUGACAUGUUAAUGGUUUUAUAAUUUGUUUCAUGAUUUCUAGUGCAGAAAAUGUUCCUGCUCAGUACCACGAAGGAUAUAUCAAACCUCGGUCAUGGGCAUAUAGUUCAUUGGAUCUGUACAAGGUAAUGAGUAUGUGGUUGACUAACUUCUUGUUUCUUUGAGCUCAUAAUCGCAUCUCAAGUAAUGU